GUCCUCAACUCCGCAUGGAGCCUUGCUGACCCCCAACGGGAGUCUGGGAGCCCCUCAGCCAUGCCCUCCCUGGGUGCAGGGCCGCCCCCCUCGAGGGCACCGGGGCGUUCAUCGCCGCAGAAGACGCCCAGAGGACUCCUACUGCCCACCCCCUGCAGCCCAGGGGCUGGUCUCUGCCCUCCCGGAGGGUCCUGCCUGCCUGCGACCUGGCAGGGGCGGCUGCCGGGGCAGGAACCCCGAGGAGCAGGGUAGGCCCAGCGACGCCCACAGGCAUCCCCGGCAGCCCGGCUGUCUGCCCCGCCACACCUGCUGGGCCUCAGAGCCAGCUCCAGCCCUCGGGAGACGCGCCAGAGCCGCAGGGGGGCCGCCCACGGCACAGGAGGCCGCCGCCCACAGCCUCACCCCUACCCGGGGCCGGGAGGGGCCCUCGGGGGCCGGGGGGCCACGGGCACCCCAUCCCACCUGCCCUGCGUUGCCCAGCGCUGGGUCCGGACGGCCCAUCUGCACGCCCGUCUGGUCCCAAAGCCGAGGAGCGAAGGAUGUGGCCCCGAGAAGCCCCCGUGCAGGAGGGAGCGUGGCCCCGGCCCCCAAGACAGGGGGCCACCCCGCUUUCUUGCAGGUGGGGUCUCUGUGGGCUCAGGACAGAAAUUUUAAGCCUGAAUUUAAAAAGCAAGCAUGGGGAUCCCUGGGGGCUCAGCGGUGGAGCGUGUCCCUUUGGCCCAGGAUGUGAUCCUGGAGUCCCGGCAUCGGGUCCCACACCGGACUCCCCGCGUGGAGCCUGCUUCUCCCUCUGCCUGAGGGGGCGUGUGUGCCAGGGAAGCCAUGCCUGACAGCCAAGUGGCAGUGCAAAGGCCCUGGGGCAGCCCUGCGCCCAGCCCGUCCAAGGAGGGCCAGGAGGUCAGCGUGGCCA
rnacentral:lncRNA from 1 species